AGUGAACGCUGGCGGUAGGCCUAACACAUGCAAGUCGAACGGCAGCACAGGAGAGCUUGCUCUCUGGGUGGCGAGUGGCGGACGGGUGAGGAAUACAUCGGAAUCUACUUUUUCGUGGGGGAUAACGUAGGGAAACUUACGCUAAUACCGCAUACGACGUACGGGGGAAAGCAGGGGACCUUCGGGCCUUGCGCGAUUGACUGAGCCGAUGUCGGAUUAGCUAGUUGGCGGGGUAAAGGCCCACCAAGGCGACGAUCCGUAGCUGGUCUUGGAGGAUGAUCAGCCACACUGGAGCUGAGACACGGUCCAGACUCCUACGGGAGGCAGCAGUGGGGAAUAUUGGACAAUGGGCGCAAGCCUGAUCCAGCCAUACCGCGUGGGUGAAGAAGGCCUUCGGGUUGUAAAGCCCUUUUGUUGGGAAAGAAAUCCAGCUGGCUAAUACCCGGUUGGGAUGACGGUACCCAAAGAAUAAGCACCGGCUAACUUCGUGCCAGCCGCCGCAGUAA
rnacentral:rRNA from 1 species